UUGUGACUAUAACGGAGAUGUUACACCUGUUCCCAUCCCGAACACAGAAGUUAAGCUCUCCUGUGCCGAAGAUAGUUGGUAAAGAUAAUGCCUGCGAAAAUAGGUCGUUGCAA
rnacentral:rRNA from 1 species